rnacentral:rRNA from 1 species
AGCGAACGCUGGCGGCAGGCUUAACACAUGCAAGUCGAGCGGGCGUAGCAAUACGUCAGCGGCAGACGGGUGGGUAACGCGUGGGAACAUACCUUUUGGUUCGGAACAACACAGGGAAACUUGUGCUAAUACCGGAUAAGCCCUUACGGGGAAAGAUUUAUCGCCGAAAGAUUGGCCCGCGUCUGAUUAGCUAGUUGGUGAGGUAAUGGCUCACCAAGGCGACGAUCAGUAGCUGGCUGAGAGGAUGAUCAGCCACAUU